GACGAACGCUGGCGGCGUGCCUAACACAUGCAAGUCGAGCGGAGGAUUCGAGAUGUUUACAUCGAAGGAUCCUUAGCGGCGGACGGGUGAGUAACAUGUGGGUAACCUGCCUCAGAGUGGGGGAUAGCCUUUCGAAAGGAAGAUUAAUACCGCAUAAGAUUGUAGCGUCACAUGGCGCAGCAAGAAAAGGAGCAAUCCGCUUUGAGAUGGACCCGCGGCGCAUUAGCUAGUUGGUGAGGUAACGGCUCACCAAGGCCACGAUGCGUAGCCGACCUGAGAGGGUGAUCGGCCACAUUGGAACUGAGACACAGUCCAGACUCCUACGGGAGGCAGCAGUGGGGAAUAUUGCACAAUGGGCGAAAGCCUGAUGCAGCAACGCCGCGUGAGUGAUGAAGGCCUUGGUCGUAAAGCUCUUUGAUCAGGGAUGAUAAUGACAGUACCUGAAAACAAGACCACGGCUAACUACGUGCC
rnacentral:rRNA from 1 species